UGGGUCUGCCGGUCGCCCAAGACUUGCCCCUUUGUUUUACUUUCCUAAACCAAUUGAAGGCCUGCUGCAGACAAAAAAGUAACUCAUAGAUUCACUCAAUUAUCACUCCUCAAACAACAUAUAUGGUCAAGCCUUAGAAACUCUUGCACACCAUAUUUUUCUUUUUACAAAGGAAAUUAGAAGCUCUUAAUUCAUCAAGAAAAUAAAUUCUAAAUUAUAUUUCAAGUUGUUGCAAUCGGACCUCUAGAACAAAGGAGAAUCCAAAAUUGAUGCAGCUUGCAUAAAUUUUUGAUUCCUGCCUAAAACAAUCAGAAUCAAAGGAUCAUUCUCCGUGAUCAACUCUUACCAGCAAUAUUUUUCUUUUUACAGAUGAAAUUAGAAGCUCUUAAUUCAUCAAGAUAAGAAAUCUAAAUUAUAUUUCAAGUAGUUGCUAUCAAACCUCUAGAACAAAGGACUUGUGACCUGAAUCCAACAUUGAUACAGCUUACAAACAUUUUUGAUUUCCUGCCAAAAGCAAUCAGAAUCAAAUGAUCAUUCUCCGUGGUCAACCAACCAGUUACAAGUUUCACAAAUCAGUCCUUAUAUAUCACAAGGAAAUGGUCAGAUUAUCCUUUAUUCCUUGGCCUUGCUGCCAUCUAUUGCCAUGUAGUAAUAUAUGAACAAGGAUAACAACACAAAGACGUAAUUUCCCCCAUUGAGGUCAUCUUUAUAACUUGUUUAGUCAGAUCUAAGAAAAUAAAAUCAAACUAAAUAUAGUUUGAUGACCAAAUUAAAGUGAAGCCUAAAGAACCAAUUUGACAUUCAGUCACUACUAGCAGAGCAAUAUAAUGACACAAAAAAUCAGAGGAAAUAUCAUAUUUGACUCCUACAAACAAAUUACUUGGUCACUUCAAUGACAAGUUAAUAGCAAGAGAAUGCUACAAUAUACUACUAUGCAAAAACUUGUAAUAACCCAAAGGUGGAAAUAUAUCUCACCAAGUCAAGGGCCCAUAUUUCUUGAACUGAGCUUAUCUCCAAGCAAUGUAAUCUUCCAN
rnacentral:lncRNA from 1 species